rnacentral:rRNA from 1 species
CAGUAGCCACGGUAAUACGAAGGGUGCAAGCGUUACUCGGAAUUACUGGGCGUAAAGCGUGUGUAGGUGGUUGUUUAAGUCUGUCGUGAAAGCCCUGGGCUCAACCUGGGAAUUGCGAUGGAUACUGGGCGACUAGAGUGCGGUAGAGGAUAGUGGAAUUUCCGGUGUAGCAGUGAAAUGCGUAGAGAUCGGAAGGAACAUCUGUGGCGAAGGCGACUAUCUGGGCCAACACUGACACUGAGACACGAAAGCGUGGGGAGCAAACAGGAUUAGAGACCCGAGUAGUCCCUGUCUUUUAUAC